UAAACAUAAAUAGUCAUUUAAAAUGAAAUACGAUAAAUAAAAAUAAAAAGUUUAAGUCCUUUAUAAAAUAAAACACAAAUAUAUGAAAAUUUGACAUUUACUAAAUAUUGUCAAUUGAAAAAAUAAAAUAAUAAAAUAAUAAACCCGCGUUUUGAAAGCGCGGGUCAAAAUCUAGUUAUCUUUUAAUGCAUAAAAGCAUGAUUGGAAUGUCUUUCAAAUUACUAAUUUACCAAACUCAAUCCAUUUUGAAUAACAUUUUAGUGGAUAAAAAUUAAAGUGUUACGGCACAUUAUCCUUAUAGAGUUGACCAAAAGCAGCAAUUUGUUAUAUAACUAGAUAAUAAUAGUUGGAAGUGGUGAAUUCAUAAAGUUUACAUCUCAUCCUUUCUUUUGACUUUCUUAACAAGUAUCAAGUAUGUCCAAAUCAUUGAAAGUUGGCUCAAGAUUGACCCUACAUUAUGUUUUAAGAGAACUAGUUUGUCGAAAACCUCACUUAUCGUUAAUUGCUCAUUUGGUUUCUUGCCUGUUGUCAAAGAAACUAUCAAAAUCGUUCUUUAAUAUAAAUUUAACCUUUAACAAAAGAAGAUAAACAAUCUAUGUUGGUUUGAAUUAUCAAUUACAGUAAAUAUUUUUGUUUAUGAACUUACGUUAUAAAAAAUGUUCCCCUUAUGCACAUAGUUAUCAUGGAAUAAAAAGAAUAAUUCAUGACAACAAUAACUGUAAUUAGAAAGUAGCAUCAAUAAUAAAUCACAAUACUAAAAGGCCAAUAUGCUGAGUCUCUAGGCUGCCACGUCACCAAAAAUAAUCAGCCAAUCAGGAUAUUUCGUUUGGACAUGUCAAACAGGCUUAAGUCGUUUCUGGGCUUCACGUUUUCAUUUAAUUUGGAGUGGGCUGGGCUUCGUCUGCAUCGUCUUUAGCCUCUCUUUUUUUUUAAUUUUGCGUGAUCACAAUACUAAAAGCAGCAUUUCCUCAAAAUCUAUGCUGCCACGUCAUCAAAAAUAAUUAGCCAAUCACAACAUUUUUUUUUUUUUUUGGGUCUCAAUUGUUGGACUUGGAUGUGUGGAUUUAUUAAACCAUAUUCUGUGUUUUCAUUUUAGGCCUAUCUCUAAAUAUAAUGCAUUGAGGCCCGGAAUUGCAUGUCGUCAUCUAGGUCAUAUCUUCAUCUUACGGCCACCGCUUUUUCCGAGAUGAAAGUCGAUGAUAACGCCAUGGACGUUACAACGUUUCAUCUUGCUCUUCUUUACUUCCUGUUAAUUCGUGAUUUCCCCACUCCUCAGCAUUCAAUCCGACUCCUUCUCUUCCCGUACCUACUCACUAGAGCUUCGGGUAUAAAUACUUCCUCAUCCAGACAUGAGCAUCACAGCUUCGACGAGAACCAGAAGAUCUCUCUGUUCAAGUUCCGGUUAUUACAAUGGCGAAUUCCCAAGUCCUUCUUGCUGAUUUGAAAGCAGGACGCUGCUCCAACGUUGCGGAGGUCCAGUGGGAAGCCAGAAAUGUGAGGAGAGGAGGUGAAUUGACGAGUGUUGACAUGCUCUUUGUCGAUGAGAAUAGUUCAAGGAAAGGUUUGCUUGUGUCCUACCCGCAUUCAGCUUUUACCAACGUAAUGCGGUGAACAAGGUUAAAUUUCAAGUGUGAUUAGUUUGUAUUGAUCUUUUCCUCAUUUAAAAUGAACUCCGUGACUGUAUUAAAAAGCAGAAAGAAGCAGCUUUAUAAAGGUUCUUAGUACGUAUACUAGAAUAAGGGUGGAUAGGAGAAAUAAGAUUGGAGAAUUUUAGUUGAUUUUCAGACUUAAUUUUGUUUGGAUGUUGCUUUUAAAUGACCAAACCAGAGACCUAAGACAUGUAUGUAUGCCAUCAUGAUGCCCUGAUUGUGCUACGACCCAAAAGUUUUCAUUUGUUUUUUGUUAGUUAAACACGUGAAAGCUAAAUGUUAAUAAGUUUGAUUUAGAGUUGUAAACAAAAUUCAAAGUUAUAAUAUUCCAUAUAGUUGUAUAGGCUAUUGACUUUUAAAUAUUCCCUCGGUUACAGCAUUGAAGACGUUCACCCAAACGGUGGAAUCAAGAAAUUCAAAUCUUCUGUCUACUCCAACGUAAGCUUCGUCCAAUCAUUUUACUCUUUCUUCCAAUUAUUUUACUCUCAAGUCAAUCAUGACAGUAUCGAGUUGUAGCGUGCACUGAGUCUCCUAAUAUACUUAUAUCUCUCUUAUACUUUUCAGUUUAUAUUUUCCUUUCGUCUAAAUCAAAACUGGUUCCCCAAUCCAAUCGUUCUCAAAGUCAUGUCGCUCAUACAACAAGGUGAGAUGGAUUUGUCUGCAAAUCGGUUUGGAAGGUUACGAGAAGUAGCUCGAGGUCAUCUUUCAAGACUCCAAGGGAUUUGGUCUCUGUGCUCUGAUCAAGUUGCAGUUGGACAAAAAACUCACUCUUGCUGCAUGUGUGAUCGUGCUCUGAGUCCAGUUUCUUUGUCUACCCCCACAAAGUCAUCAUCAAGACUUCUUCAUCUUCACAUCUGAGUGAGAGCGGGAGCAAGGCUGCAGACCCAGACCCAGUUGGGACAUCACCAGAGCCUACAACUAAGAAGCCAAUGAGGUGUACCAAUCGUGAGUAGACGUUAGAGUGGCUCUCAAUUAUCGUUCAGUCCAGCUGUCAUCUAUCAUAUUUUCAUAGUUUAUGCUUCCAGUUUAAUAAUUGUAAGGCUUAUUAGGUCUCUGUCUAUGCAAAUAUUUGGGCUUUGAUAUUUUAAAAUUAAACACUUAUACACCUAAGUGAGUCAAUAACAUAAUAUUUUCCAGCUUCUUAUUUCUCUUCCAAACACACUCCAUCGAAGAUAAAUUGACUCUACAGGAAAUAGCUUUCCCCGACAUACAACGUUUUUUAAAACUUCGGGGAUAUAAACAUAAGAACGUAGCUGGGUGGAUGUCGUCCACCUGGGUGUGAACCCAAAGUUGACCUUCAGUUCGUCAAAAGCUUUUAAGUUUUAACACAAGAAAAAUUCCAGAAAAUGUUUUGAGUGUUUUGAGUGUUUUUCAGUUUUGCCAAUUUUGUUGAUCAGACGUAACAACGACCUCAUACAAUGCUGUGACACCGAUUAGCAGCCCAAACAUGUCACUUAAUUAGCCACUUGGCAUCUUAUUAAAGAGUCGAAUUUAAAUAUAUGGAUGCCCAAAACUACAUUUCUAAACGGAAAACAAUACGGCAAUAUAAGCACUGCGAUUAAACUAUGUUUGGCACACUUUGACUCUAAAGAACGAUUGUCCAAUUACCACCAUCCACAGAUAUAAUAAACUGAAAAGCUAUUAAUAAAUAACAAAACAAUUUAAUACAUCGUAACAGUAAACUAAAUGGAAUAAUCUGGAAAAAGAAGUCCAAGUCUUAAUUUACAAUAUACAUUACAAACUAAAAUAAAAUAAAAAAUGCAACACAAUAAACAUGAAUUCAAUAUUAUUUUGAAGACAAAGUAUUUAACCAAUAUGUCCACAAUGAAUCCUUAACAUAUUCUCACAUCUAUGACAUGGACAAAACAUGUAAGGAUUGUUACUACUUUAAAAGGAGAAAAAAUUUGUUAUCUUCAUUCAAACACAUGCAUUUACAUGUUUUUCUUUUGGAACAUCAAUUUUACUUUAUGCUUUAAGAUCAACUAUAUUUACUUUGGUGCAACUAUCACCUAUUUAUUCUAUUUUUAUUGAAUCGAUUAGUGAAAAUCACUUAUGCUAUUCAUUUUUGACCUAAACAACUUCAAAACAAAAUAAUUCACUACAAUUAUUAAGGACUAUCAAUUUGAUACAAAAAAAAUUAAAAUUAUUAGAAAACAAGACAUACGAACCCGGCGCGUAGCGCCGGAAUACCACUAGUAUUCAUAAUAUGAACAAUUAAAAUAGCUACCACAUGACAUCUGUCACGGUAAAGAUUUAAAGUUUUCAUUGUUCAAAAAGUAAUUUGGUGAGAUACAUAAUUAUGGAUUAUCUGGUAAAGUACUAGAAAAGCAAACAAAGUUCAGCGAAUAUAAAAAUUGAUAAGUUUCAAUUAUUUAUAUAAUUUAUAAGCAAAUUAUUUUAACUGUCGUCUUUUUCAGGUUUCAUGUUUAAAAAUGAUAAUCAUGUCAUAGUGGUUUCCACUGAAUGAUGAGUCACUUUGUUGGUCCAGGCAAGUGUUCGAAUCUUUCCGGUGCAAAUUUUCUAGUUUCUUAUGUGGCUUUGAUUCUCUAAUUCCCACAUAAAGUAACUGAGCUUAUCUGUUGAUGGUGGCCGGUCCAUAUGAGCAGGACUAGUCGGGCUUCGACUUGGACACCUCUCUUAUUUAAUAAAAAAAGUUUCAAAAUGAUUUCACAUUAGUUAUCAAACUUAUUCAGUAAAAAGGAAAACAUAUACACUAUAUUGAGUCAUUCAAGGGUGGAUCAUGUUAUUUUUGUCUGUAUCCUUCAUCUGCUUCACUCGUUGAGGUAGUAGUGUGUAACUAAAUCUUCCACAUGAGUUUUCGCAGUAUCCGGUUGAGAGAGAACGUUAUGCCAUAUAAAUAGUUGAAAGUCUUUUAUCUUCCACUUUCAUUUCUUGAUCAGUUAGCAAAGAACCGGGAGGAUACACGAAGGAGUCAUAGCCAUGAGCAUACAUCUACUACAAACUGGCAUGGUGAAC